GAUGAACGCUGGCGGCGUGCCUAAUACAUGCAAGUCGAGCGAACAGACGAGGAGCUUGCUCCUCUGACGUUAGCGGCGGACGGGUGAGUAACACGUGGAUAACCUACCUAUAAGACUGGGAUAACUUCGGGAAACCGGAGCUAAUACCGGAUAAUAUAUUGAACCGCAUGGUUCAAUAGUGAAAGACGGUUUUGCUGUCACUUAUAGAUGGAUCCGCGCCGCAUUAGCUAGUUGGUAAGGUAACGGCUUACCAAGGCGACGAUGCGUAGCCGACCUGAGAGGGUGAUCGGCCACACUGGAACUGAGACACGGUCCAGGCUCCCACGGGAGGCAGCAGUAGGGAAUCUUCCGGAAUGGGCGAAAGCCUGACGGAGCAACGGCGGGUGGGUGAUGAAAGUCUUCGGAUCGUAAAACUCUGUUAUUAGGGAAGAACAAAUGUGUAAGUAACUAUGCACGUCUUGACGGUACCUAAUCAGAAAGCCACGGCUAACUACGUG
rnacentral:rRNA from 1 species